UCAAUUGAAUUUUUCUUUCGGUGUACUUGGAUUUGUAACUGUAUUUGAGUUUGUUUAUAUUUUUUUUUCCAAUUUUAGUUUCUAAUUAUAAUUUGUUUGCUUUGCAUUGUUCAUAUCGAUCUAUCGUCAUGUAGCUUUUUAGUGUUCAAAUCCAUGUAGCUUUGUAGCUUUUUAGUGUUAAACUAAGUUAUGGUAGUAUAAUUUAAAAAUUAUUAUUUGAUUAAUUAGUAAAAAAUAAAAAUAAUUGACUAAUCAGAUAAUAAAACAAUGAGGUAAAAUUUCAUACGAACUCGCUUCCUCUGUCGCUCUGGUUCUCUUCUUCGUACACACUCUCCCUCUUUUGUCGCUCACAGACCGUAAAGCACGCCGAUGGCUAUACCGAGAACCUGCCAGCGUAAGUAAGAUAGCCACUAUUCGCAGGUUUGCUAUAACAAGUAAUUAUAUAAAAUCAUUAAAAUAAAAAUUGAAUUUUCAUCACUUACGG
rnacentral:lncRNA from 1 species